rnacentral:rRNA from 1 species
AGGACGAACGCUGGCGGCGUGCUUAACACAUGCAAGUCGAGCGGAAAGGCCCUUCGGGGUACUCGAGCGGCGAACGGGUGAGUAACACGUGAGUAACCUGCCCUGGACUUUGGGAUAACCCUCGGAAACGGGGGCUAAUACCGAAUAUGACUUCUGCCCGCAUGGGUGGUGGUGGAAAGUUUUUCGGUCUGGGAUGGGCUCGCGGCCUAUCAGCUUGUUGGUGGGGUGAUGGCCUACCAAGGCGACGACGGGUAG